rnacentral:rRNA from 1 species
CACGUAGUUAGCCGGGGCUUCUUAGUCAGGUACCGUCAUUUUCUUCCCUGCUGAUAGAGCUUUACAUACCGAGAUACUUCUUCACUCACGCGGCGUCGCUGCAUCAGGGUUUCCCCCAUUGUGCAGUAUUCCCCACUGCUGCCUCCCGUAGGAGUUUGGGCCGUGUCUCAGUCCCAAUGUGGCCGUCCGCCCUCUCAGGCCGGCUACCGAUCGUCGCUUUGGUGGGCCGUUACCCCGCCAACUGGCUAAUCGGACGCGGAUCCAUCGUAUGCCGAUAAAUCUUUUCACACAGUACCAUGCGGUAUUGUGCGCUUAUGCGGUAUUAGCAGCUGUUUCCAACUGUUAUCCCCCUGCAUACGGCAGGUUAUCCACGCGUUACUCACCCGUCCGCCACUAACUCGGAAAUCACUAGGUUUCAAUCCGAGUCCGUUCGACUUGCAUGUGUUAGGCACGCCGCCAGCGUUCAUCCUGAGCCAGGAUCAAACUCU